rnacentral:lncRNA from 1 species
UUGCUACUAUGAUUCGAGGAGACUUUGUGGUAUUUUCUAGAGUUUUAUUUGAAGCCAAGAUUUGUAAAGUCUUGGUAUUUUGUUUUUCUCCCAAGUUAAUGCAUAAAAGAUUCAUGUUGGGCUUUUGUACUUUGCACGCACCUUUAUUCCCUUACUCUUCGGCUGUGGUGUCACUGUUGCCUUGUCUUCAUCCAUUCCCUCCCUGUCGUCUGUUCUACAGGACUGGUCUCCAUUUGUGGCGGGGCUCGUAGAUCUCACCAUGGAUGCAUUUAUCCUGUCCUCCUACUUGUGGCCACAUGAUUUUUCAUAGUAGAUUUGCACCAGAUUCGUUUCUGCUUGGAUCUAGGCGCUGAGCGCAGCACAUGGUUGCCAUUACUUUUGCUGUCUCUGCCCCAUGCGCUCAUCUUGUGCUUCUGGUGAUGUCACCCUUAUUCCAUUCGAUGUAUCUGGGAUGAGGGAUUUGCCAUAGGUUGAUUGGAUGCAAACAUAAGAUGCCAUGAAACUGUUGAUACAUCAGUUAUUAAUCUUUUAUUUUUUUGCAGGUCCUACAUCAGGACGGUGAUUGAUCCUUUUUGCUCCGGCGAAAGCUUUGAGGUGUUGAUGCUCUAGCAAUGUUGAAGCUCUAGCUGGCUAGGCUAUAUCUAGUGUUGUCAUUGUGCUUAAGGUGUAAAUCUUGCAUCGUGUGUUGCAGCCUCAGCCUGUAUUUGAGCAUAAUGGUUGUUCUUUUGUAAACUGUGUAACACACCUGGUCGGUUGAGCACUGCUGCAACUAGAUUUGGACUAGGUCUUAGCAGCUGCCUUUGUAUCUUGUCUUAACUUCGGUCAUAUGUUUGAAUGGCAAAAUAUGUGUUGUACCUUUAAGCCUGGAUCUGUGAACAAAAUGUUUGUUUUUUUGUUAACUGUGUAUGUUAGCACUGCUGAAACUAGAUUUUGCUCUUUGCUUAGCGGUUGUCUUUGUAUCUUGUCUUAGCUUUUGUCAAUAUAGUAUGUUUAGCAAAAUUUAUGUUUGGCUAGUGUUGAAUCGGGUAUUGUUGCUGGUAUGAUUCCAUGGAUGUCGUUGGCUCUUCCUGGUACUACUUUUGAUCAUUUACAAAAUAUAUAGGUAUAUUUCCUUUGAUCGUGUAUUUAUUUAUUUUAAUGACUUGGCAAAAUAGUGGUACAAAAGGCCCGACAGCCACAUGUGCUAUCUAUCUGAAAUUUAUGGUACCCCUAUUGCUAUUUGGAUGGUCUACUACUGACAGAAUUAUGUAUCCCUAUUGGUCACAAACAUUUACAAAGUUUGUCUAAAAGAAAAUUUGUUCAUGAAGACCUUUUCUCGGUAUUGGGAAAGUAUCUAGUGCUCCUAGGCCUUAUGCGAAAAUCAUUUUUUAAAAUGCUCAAAAAAUUCUGAAAAAAAUGCAGCGCAUCGACGAAACAUCCAUGUCUCUGUCACAAAUUUCAAAUCAAAAUUCGAAACAUUGCUCGAGAUACAAAAAUGGCAAAUUUGGCAUCAAU